UUGCUAUGAUGCUCUUAUUUUUCGUCAACAGUAAUCCACCUCAGUGGUUGUUGAGAUGAUCAUUCUGAGCGG